CACCAGAGGGUGCAAUAA
rnacentral:tRNA from 1 species